GGGCUGAUGAUUCAACGGCAGAAUGCUUCCUUCGCAGGGAAGAUAUCUGGGUUCAAUUCCCAGUCAGUCCA
rnacentral:tRNA from 1 species